UACGUAGGGACCGAGCGUUAUCCGGAAUUAUUGGGCGUAAAGAGCUCGUAGGCGGUGUGUCGCGUCGGCCGUGGAAACCUGCAGCUUAACUGUGGGCUUGCGGUCGAUACGGGCAUCACUGGAGUUCGGCAGGGGAGACUGGAAUUCCUGGUGUAGCGGUGAAAUGCGCGGAUAUCAGGAGGAACACCGGUGGCGAAGGCGGGUCUCUGGGCCGAUACUGACGCUGAGGAGCGAAAGCGUGGGGAGCGAACAGG
rnacentral:rRNA from 1 species